rnacentral:lncRNA from 1 species
CCCUGGUGUGUUUGUGAGAUACUGAGAUGUCUUGCUACUUUUAUUGCGCACGUAAGGUGGCCGGGAGCUUGUAAAACUGCAUGUCAUAUCUGAUGUUUGGAUAUAUGAUUUUAUUGUUUGACCCUCCCUGAAAGUACAUGGUCUCAUUAAAUUAUCUACAUUUAACAUGACAAGUUCCAGAAUAAGUGUAAUGAAUAUAUUUGAUUAGUAUAAAUAAGACGAUAUGUUCUAGAAUAUGAGGUAAUGACAGAUAACAUGCAUGCUUCUUAGACUGGCUUGCAUAUUUCGCUGUUAUGAACCUGAUAUACAUCAUUCGUAAAUGCUUAUAUCUUGCUAUUAUGAAAGUUAUAUGCUUUUUAAUGAUGUGAUGCAGUUGUAGUGGCGUGUAAUAUGUAUUCAUUGUAAUAUUUUCUUAGUUUUGGAGAUUGGUUAGUAUUUUGUGGUUGAUGGUUGUAGCUGGCUUUUUCUCCAAAAAUUUACAUCUGUACAAAUUGACCAGAAGUCCAGAAUAGUCUUAUACUUAGUCUUAUACUUAGCACUCCGAUCUUUGUAGAAAAACCUUACUGGGUCCAAAGCUGUCCAGAUGCAUGGUGAAUGAUGGCUGAGAUGUGGUUCACAUGAAAUGAAAAGAAAAUUCUUGUGCUUGCAGGGAGCGGAAGCGGAUGUUAUUGUGGUCACCGUUAAGAGAGUGCUUUUUUGGCCCACUACCAAAGAAAAAUGGUGGGUUCCCACUUGAUUAAAACUAUCAUUUUUGUUCUUUUUUUCCAGAAAAGGCAAAACCGCUCAAGAUUCUGCUCUUCUUCAGAAUAUUCACAAGUAAAUGAUUUUCUUGCUUGUAUACAAGACAUUUCAGCCACUUUCAUGGAAGUAACGAAGCUGACCAUUUUAAUUAGGCUCACAAGCAGCUGAAUUGUGUAGGUCGCUCCUCCACUCAGGGGACAUGAUGCCGUCCCACUGUCCCUUCAUUGUGAUGCUGCCGUGGACACGCAUAUUGGGCUGCACUCUUAGGAUGGACACCAAGAUUGGCUUCCUCUCGCCAGCGCUGGGGCUGUGAGGAGCAUGAGGUAUUGCGGCCUCAUGUUGUUAUUGCUAGAGUAAUCUUUGUAAAUUCUAUCUUGACUUUUUGUAAGAAAGGAUUGCUAUUGCAGUGCAAUUGUUCUAGGUGGUGUAGUAUCUUGGCACCUUGUUAGGAUUAACAUGAUAUGCCAUUUAUUGUCUCUCUAAUGAAUACAUACUACAGUACUUGCUCUUUCUAGUGUUAGUUUGGGUUUGCAGACCAUCUAUCCUCAUAAUCUGUUUACAAGAUUGUUGUCUUGAAAAAUAUGGAAUUUUUUUAUGUGAAGAAGCAUUAAUGCAUUUUAGGACUCGACGAGUUGUGUGGCCUUUGAAAAAAUUGGCCUCCUCGCGUGAAUGUGUUGCUUGUUCUUUGUAUUUCUGCAAGACGAAGGUUUGGUAACUGAUCUGAUUGGUAUGUCUAUGAUGUUCUUGUGUUCGUAUAUUCUUCAGUGGAAUAAUUGUUGUAUUAUUCUGACUAGCUCUUACUUUCAGGUGGUUGUCAAAAUACACUAUGGAACAUAAAUACUUGUGAGAUGUAUUAAUUAAUUAGUUGCUUCUUUUUUCAGGUUAUUGUAUACUGCUCUUGCACUCACAAGUUUAUAGAUCUGUGUUUUGUCAGCUAAACGGAUCUAUUGCUAGAAUCUAAGGAAGUUUUUGGACAUUUUAAUAUCUAUCUGAUGAAGUAGCACUCUAGGAUGGAUCUGUUUCUAACUGAAACCAGAUGUUGUAUUUAGUGAUGUUGCAUUUGUAGGACAUAUGGCCAUCCCAUGUAUGUAUGUAUGGACGAUGGAUUGUUGUCCUUUUGGCUAUGAGGUAGUACAGGACUUGUGAACCUACAAAUGUAUUUCUAAUUAUGUAUGUCGUGAUGUAGUAUUGGACCUGUGAACCUACAGAUGUAUAGCUAUGUAUUGUUGAGAUAUGUAUUGUUGUUAUAUAUACGAUACAACCUAAUUACUCUACACGUGUGAAGUUCCAUCUAUACAUUGUAUUCUAAAUUAUGGUACAAAAUCAAGUGGAGAUAAAUGACAGGUUGAACUAGAAGGGGA